GACGGAGGGUGCAAGCGUUGUUCGGAAUUACUGGGCGUAAAGCGCGGGCAGGUGGCCUUUUAAGUCCUUUGUGAAAUUCCGGAGCUCAACUCCGGACAUGCAUAGGAUACUGGAAGGCUAGAGUGCGGAAGAGGCGAGUGGAAUUCCUGGUGUAGCGGUGAAAUGCGCAGAUAUCAGGAGGAACACCAAUUGCGAAGGCAGCUCGCUGGGACGUAACUGACGCUGAGACGCGAAAGCGUGGGGAGCAAACAGG
rnacentral:rRNA from 1 species